UUCAAACUAACUCCGUUAAGAGAGGAUCACCUUCACCCAUUAUUCUGAUUAGCUUUAUAAAUUCCGGCUCGCUUGACACCUUCCAUGGAUGCACUGCAGGUGCGUGUGCGGAAUAAUGUGUCGAAGAAGAAUUAGCAGAUUGUGGUUCUGGCUUAUACACCAUUGUACUAAGCACUGAAUCGAAAUUCUGAGGUGAAUCCAUUGACAAAAAGAACAUGGGUAUGGAAACCUUUUGAUGGAUAUCUAGAUGUCCGACCAGAUUAACAAGAUCAACAAAGUCCGCUACAAACUGUCGAGGAAUGUAGAAUAUCUCAGAACUGCAAAUUGUGAGGCUCUGGUCACUCCUCACAACUUCUCUAUAGUUCAGUUGGAAGUGAACCGGCAUUGUACUAACUACCUUCCUUACCAGCUCCGCUUGCUUUGAGUACCAAUCAGAACUUCCUUUGGUUGAUACAGUACUCCAAGACAUGGAUACCUAAAUGCCAUCAAAUGAAGAAGAAAAUAGGAGCAAUGACUUAGUAGUUCCUCGUAAUGAACAUUUCCAUAUUUUAGGAACAUAAUACGCCAAGCUUGUAAGAUUAUAUUUCUAUUUGCAAAAUUAUUUUUGAACAAUCCAAAAUGUUUUCUUCAAAUAAAUGGCGAAAGAAAUCUACUAUGUAACAGCUAAGCACUAGAACAAUAUAAUUUCUUAAAAGAAAAUACAAAAGCUGAAGUACCGUAGGUAGGACAAAUAAUUAUUGACAACAUUUUAAAUAUGUAAAACGAGAAGUAAAGCACAAAUGCCAAGUGAAAAGGAAGAAUUUAGGUACCUUAUCCGUUAUCCAUAGCUUAGUCUUGUCUGCCUGUAAGAGAUUCCAGUAAUUAAGAACAGUAUCAUCUUCGAGGAAUAAAAAGCCAUCAGCACUUGAAAACCGAUCAAAUAUCUUGGGCAGAUGCCUACAAAAUAUGUUGAGAGACAAUUAGUAAACAUAAAAGAUGCUUCGUAAAAGUAAUUAUCAUUUAACAUUCCAACAGGACAACUCAAUACUAGUAAAACAGGCAUGACCACACUAAACAGCUAUGGUUUCCAUGGUUACUAACUAUAAAUUGACCAUUUAACAACAAUUUGCUGCUUUUAGAAAGUCUUAAUUCAGAAGAAAGUAACAUACAAAACCUUAAUUGUCUAAGUACCAAAUGUGAUAACCUGUCAAAAAUAUAGAAAAAAAAAAAACCACACAAAAACAUGCAAUUAUUAUUGCAUUUAUAAUUCGUAAAACUCCAUUAAGAUUAUAAGGUAACUCUUCCCUUUUAGGGUUUGCUUAGUAGGGAGAAUCAAAACAAGAAGAAGAAGAAUUCAUAAUCCAAGGUUAUGCUAUAAAAAAGUAAAAUAAUUAUGAAUCUUAGUGAAAAGGAUUCCACUGCACCCCUUCCUCCUGGCAAAGCUUAGCUCAAGGUAGAAGAGGGAGCCUCCGUAUGAUAUAUCAUGGGAAAGAAGAGGAAGUACUUUGAUUGGAAAACAGAGAUGCCACAACAAGAAAGGAACGGAUUCUUGACGCUGAUGAAGAAAAUCAGAAAAGAGGGGCCAUUUAGAGAUUUUAGAAUGUCUGAAGGUACAGUCUGGAAUCAACAAAAACUAAUCACAAGGUAUAGCAAAUCCCGGUUUCAAAUACUAUGGUCAAUCUACUUCAUGCAAGAACUGCUUAAAGUACAACUUCGAUUCUUUAAGGCUAAUGGAAUGCCCUUUGCAUAAGGUAAGGUUAUGGAUCAAUUAUUUAUGAUCAGGAGAGAGACUCAUUUAUUAUUUUAAAAUUCAAAUAAAAUAAUUAUUAGAUACACAAGUUGCUUUAUACAACAAAUAUCAUCCUCCACUUCCCAAUAUAUUACAAUCAUUAUUUACUAGUCCCUCUGCAGUUACACCUCCAAUCUAUAAGAUAAUAUGAAGGAUCAAGAUUAACAUAAAUCAACGGGUUAAGAUCUUCAAUAUGAACAGAAAAAAAAAAAAAAAACCAAGUAUAAAACGAAAUUAAGCAGUUUUCUAGAAGUCUUCAUCUACCCAAGCACAAUAUGAUAUCAUUUUCUUUAUCACCUCAUGCAUGUAAUAACUGCAAAUUAUUUUCUGUGCAAAGCACGUGAAAGAAGAUGAUGAGACUUUCAUUUUAGCUGUCCAUGGAUCAGUUGCUUUUACAAAAAUUUCAUAUUGGUUGUUCAUGGAUAAAGUAAUUUAUGAAAAUAUGAUGAACAGAAACUAAUAAUUGUUAUCUAUGAAUAAUAUCACGGUUAAUGACUUAUGCCCAAAUUCAUUUUGUCCAAAGAUUUAAAGAACAAUUUAUCAGGACUUAUAUUGCAAAACCUCCCUGGCCAGGUACAGAUGAAAGAAAAUCAGGCAAAUAAUGUCUGGAAGCAAAAGCUAUCUAGUAAACCAGAAUAUCACUUUAGUCUACCAAAACAAUAUUCAAAAGCAAAGAAAGUAACAAAUUAAAAAUAUAUAUAUAUCAAUAUUCUAAGAAAGAUGCACCAUGGAAAAAUAAAUUGAUAGAUUAAAAGUAUCAUGUGAAGGGCAAGUGAUGAUUCUUGUGGCAACUUACUUGUAAAUUUGAUCUAAUUGACCUUCUUCAAUGGCAAGAUCCGAAUUCUUCUGCGCAGAAAAAAUAACCACAGUUUUAAAUAUCCGCCCGUAAAGCAGUCUCCACUCCAGGGCAGUACGUUCCACAGGACCAUUGCAGAACAUGAUUAACACGAUAUUUCCAAAAUUCUUCCUCCAUCGUAUCAAAUUCCCAAUCUCAGAGCUAACCAUCCCUGUUUCCUCCACUGCUAAAUGAACAGAUGGCAAUUUCUGAGGGAUAUAUUCUUUUCGAUCCCCAUGACCGAUAUUUGCCCUUGGUCUGUCCAGCUCCAAUGUCAUCAACCUUGGCUGCUGAUAACCUACGGCAACCAAGUCUUGAAGCCAAGCAGCAGUAAACUUGAGAUCCUGCUCCGUCCAAAACCCCUCCUCCGCCAUGGCAUAACUCAGUUCCAAUAUCUUCUCAAACAACCUAUGCUUGUUUGAUCUCCAUGACACCAAGAAUUUGAUCAAACGACCUACAUUCACAUGAAGAUCCUUCUCCUCUGAAAAGGGGUAUGCCUCAAUUCUGUCAUACCGAUGAACUGUAGGAGGAUACACAGCAACACUACCACCAAUCUCCCACAAGAGCCGCUGUCCCCAGUAACCCCUCAAUCCAUCUGAAGCCAUCGUACUAACAGAAACAGGGAGCAUCAAGGCCCAAAAGGCCGAUGAAUGGUAUAACGUAUUGAACGAAUUCAAUGGCACCAUCAUACCUUGAGGAAAGGCCACUUUUGGUGCAUGCUCAUCAAACCUAAUAUCAAAGGCUUCGAAACCCGACUUCCUAGUAAAAUAAAACACGGAAUCAACAUCCGGUAACCCGUUUGAAAUCCCUUGCUGUAUGAACUGUUUCCCACCAAAGACCUCAGUGUAAAACUCCUCGUGUCCAAAGUCACCCACAUUUUCCAAUGGUAAUCCCCUAGGCCAAACUGAACGUUGGCCGAAAUGAAUAUAAGGGUUGACUACAGUCCUAUUAGGAUUAUCAUGGCUAUACUGCAAUAUAACUUCUUGCCUAGCCCCUUCCCCUACUAAUUCUACAUCAAAAUGUUUCCCUAGAUCAUUAUCAAUUACUUCCCCACGAUCAUCAGCAUCGAAGAUCUUUUUGGCACCAUGUUGAAUCGCAAACAAGUAACCGACGCUCUUUCUAACAUAAGAAUCGUAAGGCAAAUGAUCCACAACGCGAAAACCCAAAUUAGCUUGCAUAUCUAAAGACAAAAAAAUCGCACCUUUUAAGCUCCAAUCACUGGGAGUCCUGGAGUUCCCAAUUGCCAAAACUUGCCACCCUUUAAUCUUCACCAUCUUCUUCAAUGCAUCGGAGGGGUAAUUAGAAACGGAGACAACGACCCAUUGCUCUGAUCUGAAAUUAGCGUAAGGCGAAGUGCGGUCAGGAAUGGGUUUGAUGGAAUUCCAGUUGAUUUGAGGGAGAGAGAUGGAAUCCACGGCGCUCUGGGUUUCGGAUUGGAGGCAAAGGAGAAAAGCUGUGUUGGUGGAGGAGUAGAUGAAGAAAACGGCGGCGAUGGUGAGGAUUAGGACUAAGAUAGUGACGAUUUUGUAGCAGUUGUCGGGUACCCAUGCGGAGAAGUCGAGGUUUUUGGGUUCAGACAAUCUGUUGGGUUGAACAGUGGGGAGCUUUCUGAUCUGGGGAGGUUUUGGAGACUUAGGAACUGCACGGUCUUGGACCAACAUUUGAUCUUUUCUUCUUAGAUAGAUUCUUCCAAACCUAAAUUCUUGCUAGAUCUUCACUUUUGCUCCUUAAUCUCAGCUUCACUCAUAGAUUCCCCAAUUGCAUUUCUAUUUAAUUUGCUGUUUCUGUUGUGUAAAGAAGAGGGAAAGAAACAGAAAGACAGUCACCUUGGACUCUUUUUAAUGACCUCUGCCGACAGCUACAAGCGAACACACACAACCGGGUUUCGUAGGCUUCAACGUAAAUUUUUAGCAACUGAUGAGUGGUAGUUUGGUGGGUCGUUGUCCUGUCUUCUUCUGCAAAUAUUUUAGGAUAAAAUACUAUUAUAGUAAGUAGUAUAUUAUUCAACUCAUUCCAUAUUCAUCACUUAAUUAAUUUUUUUAUUAAUUAAUUUUCAAAAUUAAAUAUUUUUGGGUUUGUUUUAAUGGAUGUAAAAGUAGUUUUAUUUUGUUCACCUAAUACUAAAUUUAGUUUUUCAAUAUUUAUAUAUUAUAUCAAUUUAAUCUUAAAUUUAAAAAUUUUAUCAAAUUUAGUCAUCAACGUUUACAAUAUUUACCAUUUUAGUCCUUAUUAUAAAAAUUGGAUAAAAUACUUAAAAAUCUUUAAAAAUUUUAAUAAGUAAAUAUAAAUAUAUGUUUAAGAUUUUUGUACACAAAAUUACUUUAAACAAUAUCUUUCACUUUGUUCUUUCUUUCAUUCAAUUGAUAAAGUUAGAAAUAUCAAAUACAAUGGCCUUGACAUGUAAUCUCUCUCCAAUUCUUGGGUUAGAAAUGAUAAAAAGAUGAAAACACUAUAGCCCAAAACUAGUAUUAUAUAUGUAGCAAAGAGUAAGACCGUCGAAGUGGGUGUCAUCAACUCAUAUAGCUAAAGAAAAAAGGGGACUAAAUUAAAAGAGAUUGAAUAAAAAAUAGCUUUAAUUUAUGGAGUUUUCACAUGUUUGAUUGAUAAGAAAAUGAGCAUGGUUGGUAAGAAAAAAAAGAGGGUAAAUGAUAAUCUAUAAUAGAACCAUAAUCUUUAAGCAAUUCAACCCAUCUACAUAGUCUCAAGUUUAGUUCCUUUUAAAUAAGCAUAUACUUUAAACUUUAAUGAUUAGUGAAGACAUGACACUUCUCACCAUAUAAGUAAUGUCUCCCAAUCAUUAAGAAAAAACUACUAUUGCAUGCUCUAAUUCAUGAGUAAGAUCAUUCUUCUCGUGUGACUUGAGUUGUUGUGAAGCAUACACAACUCCUUUGCUCUCUGGCAUUAAUACACAACCUAGACCAUUGUGAGAUGCAUCACUAAAUACUAAAAAUUCUUUACUAUACUCAGGUUAUGUCAAAACAAAUGCUUUUAUCAACAUUGCCUUUAAUCUCUCAAAACUCUACUGACACUUAUUCGACCAUUCAAACUUAACAUUUUUUUUGCAGUAACUAGGUCAAACAAGAAGCAAUUAUCGAGAAUCAUUUUAUAAACCUCCGAUAAUAUCCGGCUAAAUCAAGGAAACUUCUUACUUUAGUGACAUUUUGUAACACCCCAUAUUCAACCCGAUCAUCGAGUCUGAGCUACAAGAUGUCAUAUUCAUUGCUGGAGCAACUACAAUCACAUUUGCAAUUCAAAUAAACAAUUUAUGUGUUAUUUUAAGCUCAAUACAUAAUUGUAAAAUGUUAUAUAAUUAAAUUCAAGAUAUAAACGAACUUAUGAAAGCUCUUUUGAUAAAUCGAGGUUGGUUGAGGACUAAAAUAUAACAUUUUUAAAAUUCUCAGGUUGGUGUCGCGAUGUCGAAGGUAUCACGUCGCAACUUUGACAAAACAAUAAGUUUCAUCAAGACAUCGGAGAUCCAUGGCCACGACACCACUUUUUAUCGAUUUCACAUUUCAAUGUUGAAGGUCUGUCCUUAGGACGUCACCUACUAUUUUGCACAAUAUCCAUUAGGAACCAAUUCACAACAACUUACAAAAUGACCAAUUCUAUACCUAUUCCAUUUAAGCAAAGUACACACUUUCGAGCAUAUAAUAUGCCACAAAUCAAACAAGCAUUUCUAAUCAAAAUUUACCAAUUUGACUAUUCCAACUUAAAAUCGACUCAACAUAUGUUACCAUUUGCAUAUUUCAACCAUUUCAACCUUAUACUAAUCUCAUGAAUGCAUUUAACAAUUCAUAUGCUUGGGACUCGAAAUAACAUUACCAAUUUAAGAUUCCAAAAUGACUAUUUACAUUACAAAAGUGACUCAAUGUAACAUCCUAUACCUAGUCCGAUCACCUAACCCGAGCUAUAAGGUAUUACAGUUGUAAAGCAUUUCUAUCAUAUAAAGAUUCGACAAAAAUAACCAACAAAUCUAUUAAACAACAUUAACAACAAUAUGAUGUGAUUUGCAAUCAAAACCGAGCAUUAAUUUAACAUAUAGGACCUUUAAAAAAACUUGGAAUCAAAUUAUGACUAAACUGAAACUUUUGUAAAAAUUCAUGUAAUACCCUAAAAAAAUUUUUUACAGUAAGAUAUUAUCUUUGAUAUAAUAAAAUAAGGAAAUAAAGAAACAAAAAGGGGAAAUUUUGGAGUUAUGCCAACAUUGGAAAGUAUAUUAUGACAUAUUAGUUCAAGAAAAGAUUAAAUCGCAAAAGUGAGAAAAGUUUUGUUGCCCAAGAGUAAAUACUCAAAAAUUGAGAGGUUCAAGUGUAAAUAUGAAAAAUAUGAAGGACCAAUGGUGUAAAUAUUUUAAGGGUGGAAUGAUCUAGAAACUAAGGAAAAUGGAUGGAUUAGGACCAAGUUGAAAAAGGUGAAGAAUUUUGAGGGACUAAAUCGCAAUUUUACUAAAUUAAGUGAUGACUCAAGAAUGGAUUUUUAAAAGAUCAUAAGGGCAAAAUGGUUAAUUAAAAGAGAGAGAAAUCUAGAAGAUAAUGAUGAUGUUGGAGAUAUUUUAUAUUAAAUAAAUAAAUAAAUAAAUAUUAGUUUAUUAGUAUUUUAAUUUAAUUUUUAAAUAAUAUUUUAUUAUUUUAUUUAGUAUAUAUAUAAGAAAAGGAAGAUGAAGAAUGAGGGAACCCACUAUUUUGCCAUGCACCAACGUGAGAAAAAGAGAGAAAGAAAGAAAGUUUUGCUUUCUUUACAAUUUGGUCCUUCCACCAAAAAUUCACCAUUUUCAUAUAGAAAUCAAAAGAAUUUCCAUAUCCAUUAAGAGAGAAAGAUAACAAGGAGACUAUGGGGAGCUAGAAUAUCAAGUUAGAUUCAAGAAAUAGAAGCUGGAGGAGAGAGAAAAUCAAGUUAAAGAUUGAAAUCAAUAUGACAAGGUAAGAACAUUAAGAUUUUAAUAUAUUUUUAAGUUUGAUAUUAUUGAAAAAGUAUGGAAAUGAUGUUAAUGUAAAGUUUUCGUAUAUAUGGUCCUAUGUUCUUGAUAUGUUAGUGAAGAGAAAAUAAGAGAAAGUGAUGAGAAAUAGUGUAGCAAAAGAAAAAAAGGGUGUUAUAAACAUGAUAAUAAACAUCUUGCACUAAAACAGUUUUGGACAGCAACAGUAGGUUAACUUUGAAAAAUCACCAUAAAUUAUGGAAAUUUAAUUAGAAGAGGAAAAAAAUAUGAAAUUAAAUCUUAUUAAGUCCAGUUUCUUAUAGAAGAAGCGGUGUAAGUAAUGAAAUUGUAAAACAUGAGAUAUAAUAAAUUUUGUGAGACAAGGUCAGAAUGAAUUCGGGUUCCCCUGUUCUAACUUUGGAAAAUCAUAAAAAAUUUUAUAAAAAUAAUUAGAGGCUUAAAUUUAUAUGUUUAAAAUCAUGAAUUAUUAUAUUUUAAAUAUAAAUAAACGGUAACAUCAUCUGAAUUCUGUACAAAGAGAUAAUUAAUUUUUAGUGAAAAGGGGUCGGAACUGUCAAACAGUGAAAUAGGGGAAACUUUAAAGAAUAAAAUGUACUUAUUGGCUAAACAAAAAAUUCUGAAAAUUUUAUGGUAAUAAGAUAUGUGAGUAUAGUUUCAUAAAAAAUUUACAGAUCUCAAUUCGGAAUUCUGUAGCUUAAGAUAUAAUUAAUUUAGUGACUAUGAUUCAAGUGAACAACUUGUUAUGAGUAAAUAAGUAAAUAGUGGUAUCAUGUAUAUAUUAAGGAUGUGGAAUGGAGUGAAGGAGGAGGAAAAAUAUAUGUGAAUAUUCUGAUAAUAUGAUUUAUUGUAAAAAUAGCUAAUUUACAUGUUUUAAGUUUAGGGACUAAAUUGAAUAAAAGUAAAAUUUUUAGGGUAAUUUUGUAAAAAUGGAAAAAAUGACCAAAUUUCAAGAAAUGAAUAGUUUUAUCGUCUAAAUUAAUAAAUUUAAUGAAAUUAUUAAUUUAAAUCAAAAUCGCGUGAAAAGUCGAGGAAAAUGGAAAAUUUCCAAAACGCUCAUGUAUCAUGAUAUUUAUGCAAUUUAGCCUAGUAAAUUUACAUUACUGUAAUUCAAAUCUAAGGCUGUGUUUGAUUGGCAGAAUUGAUUUUUCAGAAAAUCAAUUACAAGUUUUCCAGUGUUUGAUUGGCGGAAAACAUUUUCCUUUUGGAAAAUCAAUUCCGCAACACGGGAAAUUGGGUUACAUUUUAGGGAAAAUGUCUUACCCUUUCAAUUUCCGUAAGACAUUUUCCCUGCUCUCCUGCCUUCUAAUACCUUCAUUCCUUCCAUCAUUUCCAGUAGAAAAAGUGCUUUUGUCGACUGAUUUUCCACUAACCCCCCACAAGAAGUCCUUCAUUCCUUCAUUUCCUCAGUUCCCAGUGGCAGAUUAUCACAGUUUUCUUUCAUUUCCUCGGUUCCCUCUUCUCCGGCUGAUUCAGUUACCGAUCCAAACGUUCUCUCCGACCACCAUUUAUUUUUGCUAUCUCCACUCCAAUUUCUGUCAGAUCUGUGGGAAAUUUCAGGUAACCUUAUUAUUAUAGACAUUAUUUGAUUUUUUAUGGUUUUAUUUUCAAUGUCGAAAAAGACUUGCUGGGUUUGUAUUUUCUGUCCCGAUAUUAGUGCAUUGUUCAGUAAUUGUAAAAGGGUUUUAGGUUUUUAUGCACAAAAAUUGGGUAAUGCAAGGUAAAUAAUAAAUAUGCAGAUCAGUAAUGUCUGAUCCUGCAAAUUUUCGUUGUUCCAAAAGGGAGUAAGACUGAUGUUGUCUUAGCUUCUAUUUUGAAAUCAUACCUAUGGAAUCAUUGUCGGUUGCUCACCUUAAUAAUAAAUAUGCAACUUAAGGAUAAAAAUUCUGAUAUAGUAUCUGAUUUUAACAAAUAGUUAUUAGAUUUAGGUGAUGGAAGAAUACCUAAUGUCGCACUAGAGGUUAAUGUAGAUUCCCCAACCCAUUACCAUACCAUAUUGAUUCUUAAUCCCUUAACGACUGAUUCAGUUUGUGUAAUAUUUGGCUACAUUUAUCUAGAACUCGAGGAAAAUUUCAAUAACACGACAUACCUAAAGGAUUAAGCUAUAUUGUCAACUACUAAUGAAGUGGUAAACAAGGUGAAUGAUUUUGUGCUUCUGAGGAUUCCAGGUGAAUCUAGAACAUAUCCCAGUUCAGAUAAAAUUUAUCCUGCAUCUGGAAAUAUUGAAGAACAAUCCCUUCUGUAUUCAUCAGAAGUCCUGAAUUCUUUGAAAUUUACUGUGUACCUAGUCAUGAGAUUUUUAGUUGAAAGUUGGGGUUCCAAUAAUGUUAUUGAGAAACAUUAACCGAAGUGUUGAUUUAUGUAAUUGUACUGAAUUGGUUGUGACAAAAUUGGGAUCUAGGUUUUUAUUAUUAUGUUGAAACUAUUACUAGUAGUAGUGUCGGGCAACAUUGUUUUAUUCCUCGAGUAGAAGUUUCACCAUCCGGUUCAAAAUGGCCUUCCAAUUUCAGAAGAAGGCAAUUUCCAAUAAAAGUUAUGUUUUCUUUUACAAAAAUUUUCUUUCCUCUACUGCAAAAGUUUUUGGAUUUUUUUGGAUAUCAUGUCUGAUCCUGCUAUAUUUUCCUUUUGAGAUUCCUUACGCGACCCUACUUGUCUGCAAACAAUUAGCAUUCAAUCAUAGAUUGCAAUUUUCUUCUGUUUGAAGCAUGAUUCACACCAUAUAAUACAAGUAUUGAUAUAUUGUAAUUUCAAUCCAUUAAAUUAAACCAUUAAUGAUUUGUGUUUGAUUUUUUAUUGCUCCUAACGGUUCUAAUUUCUUUCUAUGCUUGACCUCCAGCUGUAUAGUUCUUGCUGUCCUAUCCUCUACCUCAGCAUUCUUACUCCUGUUGGUGGCCUUGGUUGAUAUUUUCAUAAGAGGUUGGUCCAAGGUUUUAUCUUUGGAAUGUCUUCUUUCUUGGUUCUGGUCUGCCAAUGGCAUGGCAUUUGUGGUUGUUAUAUGUUUGUGGUGUGCUUGAUUUAUGAUUUUGUAUAAUAUGCAUUUGUGGUUGUUAUAAUUCGGUUCAAGUGAAUUAAGCAUGGUUGUUGGAUGUGUUUGGGUAUGGUUUAUUAUUGAUUUACAUUUUGACUGUAAUUUGUUUACGUAUUACUUGGGAAAUGACAGUGAUGAGUUGUUAUAUUUGGUUGAUGGUAGGUAAAUACAUAUGUGCGUAUGUCAUGAAUUUUGGUAAUUUUGGCAUGAUUUAUAGCAUAUGGAAUUGGCAUUGAAAAGGUCAAGCUUUAGGUUGUUAUUAUUAUGUUGUCAGUGGUAAUAUGCAUUUGUGGUGCAAUACAAGCACAGAAGCUGCUAUUAACCAACAAGACAGCCGAUAACCAAUGGGGAACAGUAUAAGUUUAUGGGAACAAGGACCUUUUCCCAAGUUUCCAUGUUAUAGAUUUAAAUAUAUGUAGUAAUAUAGAGUUUAUGCCAAGGAAUUAUGUUUUUUUCUUUAAAAUAUAAGGAAAUGUUGUUUAAAUAUUACACAUUGAUAUCAAUUUGGAAGUUUAGGUGUGAUAAAUAUUCAUUUGCUAUCUGAAUUCAAACAUGCUAAAUUUCCAUGAAAGAGAUUGUAGUGAAUAUACAGUAUGAACAGGAGGGAAAUAAUUCAUGCACCCCACCAUUUUUUUCACAGUUCAAAGACUCAGAAUUAAAGAAAAGAUGAAGUUAGAAAUGGGAAAGUCUCAAAACUUUUGCAAAUGACAGAUGAACCAAAAUCAAAUUUGUUUUUAACUUUUCAAGUAGAUUUUGAUUUAAGAAAUCAAGAAGCUAGUAAUAACUCAUCUAUAUAGGCAUCUUAGGGACUGAUAUUUUUGUUAAUUAUGUCUAAAAUUUUAACUGUAUUUAUUGUUAUCUAUAUAGCAAUUGUAGCAGUGCACUUAAACAUUAUUUAUUUUUUAUAAAAAGUAAUCAAUUUUUAAUUUAAAAAAUUAUAAAAAAUAGAAAUAAAAAUAAAUUUAUAACAUUGUCAAAUUUUUUGUUUAUAUCGAAAUAAAAAAAGAAAACACACUUGAUAGCAAUUAUAAUUUAAAAUUUUUUUAUAUUUUAAAAAAGAGGCAUCACCAUUUUUAAUAAUGUUUUUGCAAUAAAAAACAAUACUUAAAUAAUCAAAUUUCUGUUAAUGUAUAUUUUUUAUAAAUAAUAUUUUAAAUAUUAAAGUAUUGUAUUAACUAUGAUCAAUAUUUUUUAAGUCAUGGUAACUUUAUAAAUACAUGAUCAAUAUGUUAAUGUAUAUUUUUUAUAAAUACAUGGUAACUUAAAUAAUAAAAAUAUUUUUUAUAAAUACAUGAAAGAUAACCUAAUAAUAUAUAACAAAAUCUUGCACCAAUUGAAGUAUUGUAUUAACUAUGAUCAAUAUAUUUUAAGUGCUACUUUCAAAAAAUUAUUAUUGAGCAAUUAUAAUUAGCUUGAUAUGUAUGUAUGCACUUUUUUAGUCAUGGUAACUUUAUGUGAUCUUAUGAAAAUCUUGCAUCUUUUGUAGUAGUGAUCAUAUAUUUGUGUGGCAUUAUUUUGUGUAGAUGGAUCGUAAUCAACAUCAAAUGGCAAUUGUCGGAGUUGUGGCUUCAGUUUUAGCUUUUGGAGCUCUUUGGAUUAAAAAAUUAGAAACUAGGAAGGAAAUUGCUUCUCGCCCUCGUGUGAAUCGAGAUUAUGAAAGAGAAAACUAUAUUAACAGUAUUUUAUAUAGUGGUGACCAGCAUUGCAUUGAUGUGAUAAGGAUGAGACCGAUCGCCUUUUUUAAUUUAUGUGAUAUUCUUAGUACGAAUAAUUUGUUACAAUCAUCUAAAUCUGUCGAUAUUAGGGAGCAAGUAGUUAUAUUUUUACAUAUAAUUGGUCAUAAUGUAAGGUUUCGAGUGAUUGGAUCUAGAUAUUAUAGAUCAACUCAGACAGUUCACCAUUACUUUAGGGUUGUACUGAGAGCUAUUUUGAAAUUGUAUAGACUAGUUAUUAGAUUACCUGAUGAGUCAACUCAUAGUGAAAUUAUAAAUAAUCCAAGGUUUUAUCCUUAUUUUAAAGAUUGUAUUGGAGCAUUAGAUGGAACUCAUAUUCGUGCAUCCGUUCCACUUAGCAUGCAAGGAAGAUUUCGUAGCCGUAAAUGGGGGAUGACACAAAAUGUAUUGGCUGCCAUUACAUUUGAUUUGAAAUUUUCCAAUGUUCUAGCUGGUUGGGAAGGUAGUGCACAUGAUUCUCGUAUUUUAAGUGAUGCACUUUCACGCCCAAGAGGAUUAAGAAUUCCGGAAGGUAAUAUUUAUCACAAAUAGUUCUAGUAAGCUCAUAGUUUAUUAGUAUUAACUAUGUAUUGUAAAAUUGUAGGUAAAUAUUAUCUUGCUGAUGCUGGAUAUGGCAUCUGAAUUGGAUGUAUUACCCCAUAUCGUGGUGUCCGAUAUCAUUUAAAAAAGUUUGGUGCUGAAGGGCCUGAAAAUGCAAAGGAACUCUUUAAUCUUCGCCAUUCAUCAUUACGGAUCACUGUUGAACGUGUUUUUGGGAUUUUGAAAAAACGGUUUCAUGUAUUAGAUGCUGAACCAUUUUGGAAUUUUCAAACUCGAGUAGAUAUAGUUUUGGCUUGUUGUAUCAUUCAUAAUCAUAUAAUGGGAGUUGAUCCUAGUGAUUUACUUAAUCAAGGAUUAUACGAGGUGUCUGAGUCUGAUUCGAUAAUACAAACUCUCACGGAGCGAGAAGAAAGACAAGAAGCAAGAGAGAGAUGAAAUUGCACAAACUAUGUGGACUGAUUAUAUGGCUAGAAAUAUUAGGUAGAUUUAGGGCUUAGGGUUAUUGUUUCUAUGUUAUGUAUGUUUUAGUAUAAUUUUCUUUUUUUUUUUGUAAAUGUUGGUUGGAUAAUGAUAUUGAAAUUUUAGAUUGUUGGAUUUUGAUAUAUGUCUUGAAUUUGUUAGAUAUUGAUUAUGUUUUAACCUUGUUGGAUAUUGAAUUGAUUAUUAUGUUUUAAGCUUGUUGGAGAUUGAAAUUAUUGACAAUGACAAUUAUUUAAUGUAGAAUGGGUAAGGGCAACAAAGAAGGGACCUCCAAGCAAUUCAGGUGGACAAAACCGAUGGAACAUGUUUUCCUUGAAAUUCUAGCAGAGGAGGCUCGAAAAGGAAAUAAGCCUUCUAAUACUUUCAAAUCAGUUUCUAUUAAUCGAGUUGUCGACGCCAUUUCUGAAAGAUUCCAAGUCCAAUGCGAUGUGAAGCAUGUGGAAAAUCAUUUGAGGACAGUAAAAAACCAGUGGCAGAUUAUAUGCAAAAUUCGAGGUGAAAGUGGUUUUGGAUGGGAUGAUAACAUGAAAAUGAUCACAUGUGAUAGAGCGACAUAUGAUGCAACAGUGAUGGUAAUAUAUGACUAUAUAUGUUAAGUAUAUUUCAAUUGUUUUUUACUUGUUAUUCUAAUUGUGUAUAAUAUCCAACAGGCACACAAGAAGUAUGAACCAUUUCUGAAUAAAAGCAUUGAUCAUUAUGAUGAAAUAGCUUUGGUUGUUGGCAAAGAUAUGGCAACAAGGAGUUUUGCCAGAACAUUUGCUGACCUAGAUUUGGAUGAUGGUAAUGAAGAUUCAAUGCCUGUAGACUGCGACAAUGAAGAGGCUGAAGAGGUAAGAACAAAUGUAUAUUCAUCUGGCACAUCCAAACGUAAAAGAAAAAGUGGUCAAGAAAGUCUCGUUGAUGAACAAAUUAAAUUUAUGGGUGAACAACUUGGCAAAAUUGCUAAUGCUUUGGAACAAUUUACUGUCGAUAAGACAUCACAGCUUUACGAACAAGUGAUGUCGAUGGAGGAAGAAGGAUUUGAUGAUGACUUCUUGUGUUUUGUGUUUGAUUAUCUAGUGAGUCGUGAAUCAGAGGCCAAAGCUUUUUUAGUUAAAAGUAAGAAGCAUAGAAAAAUUUGGCUUCAAAAAUUUUCUCAGGGUUGAAGAUAUUGAUACUUUUAUGUGGUGUAAUAUUAUGCACUUGGACAAUGUUGUUACUAUGUGGUGUACUACUAAUUAUGUAUUUGGAUAAUAUUAUUUCUAGUACUCAUUGUGGUUUCGAAGCAAUUUAUAAUUAUUCAAUAUUAUUUCUAGUACUCAUUGUGGAUAAUAUUUUUUCAAUUUAUAACGAUCAAUAUUGUAGCUUAAUAAUUGAGUAUUAUUAUAAAUAAAUCAUUGCAAUAUAUGUAAAAACAAUUUAAAAUAUAAAAAUUUAUUAAUAUAUAUUAAUAUAUGUAAAAAACAACUUUUUCGGAAAAUAUUUUCAGGAAAUCUGUCAAACAGCAGAAAAUAUUUUACACAGAUUCAAUCAAACACCAGAAAAUAUUUUCCAGUAAAUCAUUUUACAAAAAAGUAAAAUAUUUUCCAGAAAUCAUUUUACGGCAAACAUUUUACUGCCAAUCAAACAGACCCUAAUUAUUAUUAAUUAUUGUGUUUUAAUUGAAAUGCAUGGUAAUUAAAUGGAAAUUGCUAGUGAUAUGAUUUGAAUUGUGAGCAUGAGAAAUUGCGAAUUGAAUGAAACAAAAAUGAAGCAUUGAAUUGCAUGAGUAUGUAUCGGGUCUCGUAAGCCCUAUUUAUUAUGAAUAUAAUAUUUUGAGGAUAUAUUGUGAGAAGUUAUAAAAGCAUGUUAACAAAUUUGAAAAUUAUUAAUUUAGAUGAAAUUUUAUAACUCGGUUAAAUACGUUUACAAGUGUAUGUGUUCUAAUAAUGCCUCGUGCCCUACUCCGGCGUCAAAUACGGGUAAGGGGUGUUACAAUUCAGGUAAAAAGUGUAGUCCCUAACAUGGUCGUGUUGUCUAACUGUGUAAUAGAUUUAAACCGUGUACUCUUGGGACACACGAUCGUGUCACCAGACCGUGUAACUAACUGAGGUCGUGUGGACAAACCUGCACCAAAAUUAAACAGGCCAUAUGGUCGUAUCAAUCAAUCGUGUGUGGCACAUGACUGUGUGGCAGGCCAUGUCACAGGCCAUGCCACUUAUAAUCGAGUCAAAAUAAGUAAACAGUUGCCGAGAAAAUUGACGAAUAGUGUGAUCUCCAGAAACGAUCAAAUCGACAACUCGAGCCUGACAAUCUACAAUGAAGAAAACGAAAUGAGAUAAGCUUACAUAAAACUUAAUAAGUUCGUAUAGUUAAAACAUCACAUACCUAUCAUUUUAAGCAUUAACUAGAAUUUCAUGCCUUGUUUCACAUUUCCUACCAUAUCAAACGGUUAAAAAUGUACAUAUAAUAUUAAAAAAGAUAUCAAGAUACAUGAUUCACGUAUCAAUUUACAACCAUUACAUGUAUUUAACCAUUCAUGCCAUGAACUUUAUUUCGAAACAUUCCAUUAAUCGUUUUGCUCGGAGAACAAUAGCAAAUUAACUUUGGAUACACGAGAAUAAUGCUUACACGAGUUGAUCAUCAGAAAUGCUGCUCAUACAAGCUUACAAGAACUGCAACAAAUACUAGAUUCCAACCAUCGGUAUGGUAUCCACCACCUGUACAUAGUACCUGGAAAUAUAUCCCCAGCACAAAGUGCCUAGAAUUGUAACAUUGGUACAUAGUACCUGGAAAUAUAUAUAUCACCGGCACAAAGUGUCUUGACCUGUAAUCAUCGGCACUUACUGCUUGGAACACCCUAAUGACAUGUCAUUUGUAUCCUAGCUAUUCAUUGAGUUCACACGAACUUAACUUGUAUACCUUAACCUUUUCAUAAUUAAAACCUCAUACAAUGAUCAACUUGAUCUCAAAUAUUCCAUAUAAUAACAUAAUUCAAUUCAAACAAGUAAAAUUACCAUGCUUUACAUUUCAAACCUUUGUUCCACCAUCAAACUUACCUUAAUUAACUAUGCCCAUUAUACAUACAUACUUAUACACAUAUAUGAUUAGAAUUCAAAACAUCAAUAAGUGUAACAAAUUUACUACGAAUUUACCUAAACAUACAUAAUUUACUAAAAACGGAUAAAGAAAUCACUUACAUGCAAGAGUCUUGUUGGCUGAACUUAAGAAGCUUUAACGAUGGGAUUUUGAAGCUUAUUUUCUGUGGUAACCUUAAGAAGAUGAUGAUUCUUUUCUUUUUGUUUUAUUAUUUAACAUAUAUUAUUAUUAAAUAAAUAUAUUUUAACAUAUGAAAUGCUUGAUGACAACCCAUUAACCGUCCACUUAGACUAAUUGUGGUCCAAUUACCUCUUAAGUACUUUAAAAAUCUUUAAUCAUGCAUAUUAACUAAUAAAAAAUUAAUAUCAAUUAAAAUUUUGCAAUUUUUACGAUUUAGUUAUUUUUUCUUAAUUAACUAUCUAAAUAUUAAAAUUACCUAACUAAAUUUUAAUAUGGCACUUUAGUAACCCUGUAAUUAUUAAAUAAAUGAUAAUUAUUGACUUACUGGUCGAAAUUAUGGUCCCAAAAUCAUUGUUUCUGACACCAUUAAAAACGGAUUGUUACACUCAAACUUUUGGUACAUGCCAUAUAUUGAAAUCAUAAGGGGACUAUACAAACAAUGUUGAGUCAAGAGUUGUGGAUUGGAUGCCGAAUCACUUCUCAGGUCUUCGAGAUCUGUUAAUACCUGCGCAUGGAAAUAAACAAACUGUACACUAAACGACAAAGUUAAGUGGUACUUUCAUUAUUUAAGUCAAUAAAACAAAAGCAUAUUCAUGUUAAUAUACAACCAAUACGUUUAAAUCUAAAAAUCAUCUCAUCACCACACAUCACCAUAAAAAUUAAUAUUUAACCAUUUUUUAGUCUCAAAUUACCAAAAUGCCCUUAGGAGCAAAAUUAUCAUUUUGCCCCAUCAUCUCGUAUUUUACUCGAUUAAGCUUGAAACUCUAAAAUAUGUCAAGAUGCAUUUUAAUGACCUCUCAAUAGUAUAAAAAUAAUUAAAUAUAUUACAAAUGAAUUCUCUCAUCGGAUAUAUGGAUAAUAUUAUCAUAACAGCCUCGUAUGAAAUACCAAAAAAUUUGGGCCAUUACAACUCCUUCGAGAGAAGUUUUCAAAGUGUCGUUCAUUGGUUGCUAACCAGUCUCCCAACAAUUGAAGAUAUAGUCCCUCAGGAGGUUAUCGCUUGUACUCGUGACUACAUAAUUAUUCUCAUGCCCUAUAUUAACACCUUCCCCUUGAGUCUUGUAGGUCCACCAACCAAGACACUCUCUACUUAGUGAACUAGGACCACCGGGCAGAUGCUCAUAGCACGUUGACUCUUGACAAAGUAUGAAAGACAAAACUCUUAUUAAGAGACAAUACCUUCAGUUGUUGGGGGAUUGGUCAGGUGCUCGAUAGAUGACAUUUUGUAUACUUCCCCCGAAGGAGUGGAUCCCCCUCAACGGCUCAUAACCCCUCAAACCCUUAAAUCAGAAGAAAAUACAGGAUUAAGUGCCCUUGAACCUACCUUUUCCUAAUUGUUACAAUAACUAUGAUGCCAAUUAAUUUAAGGCUUAAUCGACACUACAUAGAAAUCUUUUUUGAAAUGAUAUAAACCUACAUAUUAUUACAACUAAGUUUUUUUUUAAUAUACAAAUCUAAUUCGGCAAGUGAAAACAAUAAAAAAUCAAAUUUAUUUUUUUGUAUAAAAAUAAAAACAUCUAAUUGCUCAUGCAAUAAAAUUUGAAUGUUUAAUCCUUUAAAUUUAAAAUAUGUAAGGUAAAAGAAAAUUUUAAUUCAUUUCAAUUUUAAUAUUAAGUAAAUUGAUCUCUCUUAAAAAUUAGAACAAUUUACUCUUUAUCAUUUUGAAAGUGAGUGACUAAGGACAAUUAAUUAUAACAUCAAUAUUAUUUUAACAUCGGUAUAUAUUUUAUUGGUUUAAUAAAAAUUUAGCUAUCAAUAUUUAUAAUUUUUGUGUAAAAUAUAGAUAAAAAAAUAUAAAUAUUACGACUAAAUUUGUUAAAUUAAGACUCAAUUGUAAAAUUAAUUCUCAAUUUUAUAAACUGACCGGAUACCUGAAAUUUCAGUAAGCAUUAAAAUCAGAAAAGAAGAUUGAAAAUUAACAGAGAGCUUCUCAUGUAUAUACUGAUGGGCCCAAAAGACCAGAAUCAUUUCAUUUCUCUUCAAAUAGAAUCUGCAACCAGUAAUGAAUCAUACAAAUGUAAUGAAUCUACAGAGGAACUUACAAAAAGAACACCCCCUUUCCCCCUGAAAAAUGAUUAUGGAACAAGUAAAGAAAAGAAAGAAAAAGAAAAAAACAGUUCUUCACAUUACAAUUACAAAAGUAGUACAUGUUUCUUUCCUCCACACUACUGCCUUUCAUUCAUGUUCAAACUAACUCCGUUAAGAGAGGAUCACCUUCACCCAUUAUUCUGAUUAGCUUUAUAAAUUCCUGCUCGCUUGACACCUUCCAUGGAUGCACUGCAGGCGCGUGUGCGGAAUAAUGUGUCGAAGAAGAAUUAGCAGAUUGUGGUUCUGGCUUAUACACCAUUGUACUAAGCACUGAAUCGAAAUUCUGAGGUGAAUCCAUUGACAAAAAGAACAUGGGUAUGGAAACCUUUUGAUGGAUAUCUUGAUGUCCGACCAGAUUAACAAGAUCAACAAAGUCCGCUACAAACCGUUGAGGAAUGUAGAAUAUCUCGGAACUGCAAAUUGUGAGGCUCUGGUCAC
rnacentral:lncRNA from 1 species